rnacentral:tRNA from 1 species
GAAAUAUAAUAUAGAACUUCUAAUUCUAAAAUUAAUAAAUAUUAUUAAUAUUUCU